GUGUGCUGCAAAAAGCUCUGAAGUGAGCACAUUUGGAAGAUGCCGUUUGGUUUUGUUUUUACCGGUGUCUUUCUAAUGGAAAGAGCUCUUUGGAGUUAGUGACAAGCCAGAGGCCGUGGAGAAGGAUUGCUGGCACCUCCUCAGGGCAGUGCAGUCUGUCUGUCCUGCCUGCCCCCAGCCGGACGGGCUCAGCCUGGAUCCCAUUGGUGUGAGGGGAUGGGGGUUACCAAUGAAACAAAGAUUAAGUGACUGUUUGCUCUUGCUGUGCUCCUGCCUGUCUCUCUGUCCCUGCUGGGGACUACGGCGGCUUCCCUGAUAUUGCUGCACUGGCAUGUGAAGCAAAGCUGUCUGUUAUCGCUCAUGCUUCAAGUGCUGAGAGAAACUUUAGAGACUGCAAUCAUCUUCUACUCAGGAGCA